AGUGAACGCUGGCGGUAGGCCUAACACAUGCAAGUCGAACGGCAGCACAGUAAGAGCUUGCUCUUACGGGUGGCGAGUGGCGGACGGGUGAGGAAUACAUCGGAAUCUACUUUUUCGUGGGGGAUAACGUAGGGAAACUUACGCUAAUACCGCAUACGACCUACGGGUGAAAGCAGGGGAUCUUCGGACCUUGCGCGAUUGAAUGAGCCGAUGUCGGAUUAGCUAGUUGGCGGGGUAAAGGCCCACCAAGGCGACGAUCCGUAGCUGGUCUGAGAGGAUGAUCAGCCACACUGGAACUGAGACACGGUCCAGACUCCUACGGGAGGCAGCAGUGGGGAAUAUUGGACAAUGGGCGCAAGCCUGAUCCAGCCAUACCGCGUGGGUGAAGAAGGCCUUCGGGUUGUAAAGCCCUGUUGUUGGGAAAGAACAGCAGCAGGUUAAUACCCCGCUGUUCUGACGGUACCCAAAGAGUAAGCACCGGCUAACUUCGUG
rnacentral:rRNA from 1 species